AAUCUGAUGAUACAGUGCGGAAGCCUUGGUAGCAUGCUGAAGUGGAUGGAAGAAAGCAUGGAAAAUCACAGGACCACUUUAUCAAGCACUUCGAUUUGGAACCAAAUCCAGCAAUGUUUAAGUCAUCCUGAUGAACACAGUCAACCCAAAGCAUAUCUACAAUUUGACAUAAAUCAGAUUACAAAUGGAAUGAAUAAAGACCACAAAAUGUGUUUUGGGUUCACAAUGGACUCCAGACUGGAAAAAGCCCAUCAGUCCUCAUUUUCUUCACUUAGAAAGAGACCUUUCCACAAAAGGAUGAUGUUGGCGUAAUGGAGAAAAUAAACCGAGGCAACAAGGAACUUACAAUCAUCAAAUUUGUAGAUUGCUCCCAUGCUGAACUGUGCCUAUAAAAAUAACUGAGAAACCUCACAUGUGUAUGUAACUUGAAAG
rnacentral:lncRNA from 1 species